rnacentral:lncRNA from 1 species
UGACUAAAUUAAAAUAACUUCCUACGAUUUAUUACAAAUUCGUAGAAAAAAAACAUCUCAUCAAGUCUAAAUUCUUUUAGUUGGAUAGUCGCAAUAGGUUAAUACCGAAUCUAGUUUUUUCUUCUUAAAAAUAUAUAUAUAAUUUGAAAAAAGAAAACAGUAUAUACAUCAGUGGCUUUGAGACCAGAAAACAUAACAUUACUUUUGAAAACUAAUAAUAACUCAUCUAACAAAAUUAUAUCCAACUUUUCCCCCUCCACAAAACAAGGCUAGUUCAUGUCCAAACAAAAUUUGACUACUAACAGAAACUGAGAGUUUCACCACAUGUUGCUUGAAUGGCACCUCAUUCUGCUUUCUCCUUGGAUCAGUCAUCGGUAGUAUGAUGCCAUAAUGUAGAGCAUGAUUGCUGUCGAUGCAGUGACUAAUA